GGCAAGAUGGCCGAGCGGUUAAGGCGGUAGACUCAAGACUUGUUCUUACACUAGUAAAUAGUGGCGUAUUCUACUGGGGCAACCCGCGCGCGUUCGAAUCGCGCUCUUGUCA